AUGGUGUCUUGGGCGUGCUUGCCGUGUCGGAGGCAUGGCAGCGAUGGCGGCGCUCACCGACGGCUGCGCGAUGGAGCUCCGGGCCGUGUGUUGGCCCAUGGAGGUGGGAGGCGCUGUGGCUGUCAUGGCGUGUGGCGGAUGCGGUGGGCGGUGACGUCGUACGUGUGGCAACCGCGUGGUGGCGUGGCGGCGUGGAGGCACUGCAUGGGGGCAUGGAGGCUGUGGCGAUGCAGGGAAAUAAGACGCGGCGGCGAGCUGGGCGCGACCGGUGCAUGUUAUGGGUGCGCACUGGACGCGCCGGGAACGUCAGCACCGCGGGCGCGCAUACGAGCGUGCGGUUGA
rnacentral:rRNA from 1 species